UACAGCCAUAUCGCGUUGAAACACUGAUACUUAUACGAUCACUGAAGUUAAACACAGUUGUACUUGGUCAGUAGCUAGAUGGGUGACAGCUUGGGAGUACCAGGUGCUGGAA